rnacentral:rRNA from 1 species
AAGACCUUGCACUUUUGGAGCGGCCGAUGUCUGAUUAGCUAGUUGGUGGGGUAAUGGCCUACCAAAGCUUCGAUCAGUAGCUGGUCUGAGAGGACGGCCAGCCACACUGGGACUGAGACACGGCCCAGACUCCUACGGGAGGCAGCAGUGGGGAAUUUUGGACAAUGGGGGCAACCCUGAUCCAGCCAUGCCGCGUGAGUGAAGAAGGCCUUCGGGUUGUAAAGCUCUUUCAGCCGGAACGAAACGGUUACGGUUAAUACCCGUGAUUACUGACGGUACCGGAAGAAGAAGCACCGGCUAACUACGUGCCAGCAGCCGCGGUAAUACGUAGGGUGCGAGCGUUAAUCGGAAUUACUGGGCGUAAAGGGUGCGCAGGCGGUUUUGUAAGUCAGAUGUGAAAUCCCCGGGCUUAACCUGGGAACU